rnacentral:pre_miRNA from 1 species
GGGAAGAAAUCAGAAGACAAGAACUGGGAACUUGUCUUCUGAUUUCUUCCCAGUUCUUGUCUUCUGAUUUCUUCCCA